ensembl:lncRNA
GAGACAGAGACAGAGACAGAGAGAGAGAGAGGAGACAGAGACAGAGACAGAGAGACAGAGAGAGAGAGACAGAGACAGAGAGAGAGAGAGAGAGACAGUGACAGAGAGAGAGACAGAGAGAGAAAGAGAGACAGAGUGUGUGUGUGUGUGUGUGUGUGUGUGUGUGUGGUACGUUUAGUGUUAUCCACCAGUCUGUAAUCGCUAUGUUGACUGAUGCAGAAACAGAAACCCUGCCACACACACACACACACACAACCAAACACACACACACACAACCAAACACACACACACACAACCAAACACACACAACCAAACACACACACAACCAAACACACACACACCAAACACACAACCAAACACACAACCAAACACACACACACACACACACACACACACACACACACACACACACACACAACACACACACACACAACCAAACACACACACAUCAACAACCAAACACACACACAUCAACAACCAAACACACACACAUCAACAACCAAACACUAGGAUAAAGACCACCUCCAUUCCUGUCAUUAUUGAAAGAGAUCAUGAUACCUCACAUCUCAAAAUAGGGCUACUUAAUGUUAGAUCCCUUACUUCAAAGGCAAUUAUAGUCAAUGAACUAAUCACUGAUCAUAAUCUUGAUGUGAUUGGCCUGACUGAAACAUGGCUUAAGCCUGAUGGAUUUACUGUGUUACAGUUUUUUUGGAUUGCUUACACACUAAAAUUAAAAGUAGUACACUAUUAGCAAAACCUUACACUCAAGAAGCAAAACAUCAGCCCAUAUUUGCACAACUAGAAGCACAUUGUCAACCUCACACUUGUUGCAAAACUCUACACACAGUGAUUUGCAAAACACUAAACACACUUAACAUACAUUACACACAAACAUCUAUCAUGAAGUCACGUCCUUGCAAUACUGACUGUCAGAUUACCACACCCUCCAACCUAUUGGUUCAACACAGUCAUCAGGUGUGCAAACACUCGUUUGCUUAAUUGUAGACACACCAAUCAGGUGUAUUAGCACUAUAAAAAGCAGCAGGUGAGUUCAUCGGCCUUCAAGCACAAUGGAAAGAGUCAGAGAAAGAAGAGGAGGAGGACGAGGAGAACGAGGAGAACGAGGAGGACGAGGAGAACGAGGAGAACGAGGUCUGACAAAUGAGAUCCGCGCAACACUGGUUGACCACGUUGUCAACCACGGCCUGACGCUGAGGGAGGCUGGACUGCGAGUACAGCCAAAUCUAAGCUGAUAUACAGUGGCAAGUGUGAUUGAGAACAUUUAGACUGGAAAAUAGGUAUUGUAAAAAUAUCAUCAUAUCAAAAACAUCUGCACGGUUUCAGUAACUGCUUACAGUACUGUAUUCUAUGCACUAUCAGCACUUCUGUUACCUUUUCCUGUGAAAUUACUGUACUAUUGUAUACUGUUUUUUUCUACACAGGAUUGAGGGUCAGGGACGACAAGGGGGAAGGCCUCCUAUGUUCACAGAACAGCAAGAGAGGGAGAUAGUAAACAUGGUUUUGGCCAACAAUGCUAUAACACUGAAGCAGCUCCAAGCUAACAUGGUCAAUAACCAUGCCCUUUUCAACGACAUCCAUCAGGUCUCAACAGCAACACUGGCACGCAUCCUACAGAAACAAACAUAUUCAAAUGAAGCAAAUUUAUCGAGUGCCUUUCGAGCGUAAUUCUGAAAGGGUGAAACGACUGCGGCAUGAUUAUGCAGAGAGAGUUUUACGAAUGGAUGGAGAGGAGAUCCAGCAUGAGUUCAUUUACGUAGAUGAGGCUGGGUUCAACCUGACGAGAACACGAAGGAGGGGAAGAAACAUCAUUGGCCACAGGGCUAUAGUCAAUGUCCCAGGGCAACGUGGGGGUAAUAUAACACUCUGUGCAGCCAUUACACAGAAUGGGGUCCUCCACCGCCAUGCCCAUAUGGGCCCUUACAACACAGCACUCAUACUUACAUUCUUGGACCAAUUGCACAACAUAAGAGCAGCAAAUCAAAUCAAUCAUAUGCAAUACAUUGUUGUCUGGGACAAUGUGUCUUUCCACCGCUCUGCUCUGGUUCAGAUCUGGUUUCAUCAACAUCCACAUUUCACCGUCCUAUAUCUUCCACCAUACUCUCCAUUCCUCAACCCUAUAGAAGAGUUUUUCUCGGCAUGGCGGUGGAAGGUAUAUGAUCUCCGUCUCCAGGCUGAGGUACCCCUCAUCCAAGCCAUGGAGGAGGCCUGUGACCAGACGGAGGUAGCAAAUCAAAUCAAAUCAAAUCAAAUUGAUUUAUAUAGCCCUUCGUACAUCAGCUGAUAUCUCAAAGUGCUGUACAGAAACCCAGCCUAAAACCCCAAACAGCAAGCAAUGCAGGUGUAGAAGCACGGUGGCUAGGAAAAACUCCCUAAAAAGGCC